rnacentral:tRNA from 1 species
ACCUGGCUGGCUUAGUGGGUAGAGCACGAGACUCUUGAUCUCAGGGUUGUGAGUUUGAGCCCCAGGUUGGGUG